GACGAACGCUGGCGGCGCGCCUAACACAUGCAAGUCGAACGAGAGAUGAGGAGCUUGCUCUUCAAAUCGAGUGGCGAACGGGUGAGUAACGCGUGAGGAACCUGCCUCAAAGAGGGGGACAACAGUUGGAAACGACUGCUAAUACCGCAUAAGCCCACGGCUCGGCAUCGAGCAGAGGGAAAAGGAGCAAUCCGCUUUGAGAUGGCCUCGCGUCCGAUUAGCUGGUUGGUGAGGUAACGGCCCACCAAGGCGACGAUCGGUAGCCGGACUGAGAGGUUGAACGGCCACAUUGGGACUGAGACACGGCCCAGACUCCUACGGGAGGCAGCAGUGGGGAAUAUUGCACAAUGGGGGAAACCCUGAUGCAGCGACGCCGCGUGGAGGAAGAAGGUCUUCGGAUUGUAAACUCCUGUUGUUGAGGAAGAUAAUGACGGUACUCAACAAGGAAGUGACGGCUAACUACGUGCCAGCAGCCGCGGUAAAACGUAGGUCACAAGCGUUGUCCGGAAUUACUGGGUGUAAAGGGAGCGCAGGCGGGAGAACAAGUUGGAAGUGAAAUCCAUGGGCUCAACCCAUGAACUGCUUUCAAAACUGUUUUUCUUGAGUAGUGCAGAGGUAGGCGGAAUUCCCGGUGUAGCGGUGGAAUGCGUAGAUAUCGGGAGGAACACCAGUGGCGAAGGCGGCCUACUGGGCACCAACUGACGCUGAGGCUCGAAAGUGUGGGUAGCAAACAGGAUUAGAUACCCUGGUAGUCUACACCGUAAACGAUGAUUACUAGGUGUUGGAGGAUUGACCCCUUCAGUGCCGCAGUUAACACAAUAAGUAAUCCACCUGGGGAGUACGACCGCAAGGUUGAAACUCAAAGGAAUUGACGGGGGCCCGCACAAGCAGUGGAGUAUGUGGUUUAAUUCGACGCAACGCGAAGAACCUUACCAAGUCUUGACAUCCCUUGACGAACAUAGAAAUAUGUUUUCUCUUCGGAGCAAGGAGACAGGUGGUGCAUGGUUGUCGUCAGCUCGUGUCGUGAGAUGUUGGGUUAAGUCCCGCAACGAGCGCAACCCUUAUGGUCAGUUACUACGCAAGAGGACUCUGGCCAGACUGCCGUUGACAAAACGGAGGAAGGUGGGGAUGACGUCAAAUCAUCAUGCCCUUUAUGACUUGGGCUACACACGUACUACAAUGGCGUUAAACAAAGAGAAGCAAGACCGCGAGGUGGAGCAAAACUCAGAAACAACGUCCCAGUUCGGACUGCAGGCUGCAACUCGCCUGCACGAAGUCGGAAUUGCUAGUAAUCGUGGAUCAGCAUGCCACGGUGAAUACGUUCCCGGGCCU
rnacentral:rRNA from 1 species